rnacentral:lncRNA from 1 species
UUUUGAAAGUAGCCAUUCUGACUGGUGUUAGAUGGUAUCUAAUUGUGAUUUUGAUUUGCAUUUCUCUAAUAAUUGGUGAUAUUGAACUUUUUUCAUAUGCCUGUUGAUGCAUAUAUGUCUUCUUUUGAAAAGUGUCUGUUUAUGUCCUUUGCCCACUUUUUAAUGAGGUUGUUUUUCUCUUGUAAAUUUGCUUAAGUUCCUUAUAGAUGCUGGAUAUUACACCUUUUUCAGAUGCAUAGUUUUCAAAAGUUUUCUCCUAUUCUGUAUGUUGUCUGUUUACUCUGUUGAUAGUUUCUUUUGCUGUUCAAAAGCGCUUAAAUUCAAUUAGAUCCCAUUUGUCAAUUUUUCCUUUCAUUGUGAUUGCUUUUGGCCUCUUCAUCAUAAAAUUUUUGCCUGUGCCUAUGUCCUGAAUAGUAUUGCCUAGGUUGUCUUCCAGCGUUUUUAUAGUUUUGGGUUUUACAUUUAAGUUUUUAAUCCAUCCUGAGUUAAUUUUCAUAUGUGGUGUAAGGAGGGGGGCCAGUUUUAAUCUUCUGCAUAUGACUAGCCAGUCAUCCCAGUACCAUUUAUCAAAUAAGGAAUCCUUUUCCCAUUGCUUGUUUUUGCAAUCUCAUGACUUUAAAUAUUGUGAUGCAUUACCUACAAAGAGGGCCACCGACAACUCCUCCCAUUGUUGUAUGUGCACCUUGUUCCUUCCGACAGGUGGUGAAGUCCGUUUCUCCUCCACCUUGAAUCUGGGCUGGCCUUGUAACUUGCUUUGAACCAUAGAAUAUGUGGAAAUAUAGUGAAAUUAGAAGGUGCCAAUUCUGAGACUAAGCAUUAAGAGGCCUAGCAGCUUCUGCUUUUGCUUUCUUGGGAGCCAAGUCCCAUGUAUGAAGCUUGUGGUACAUAAGUAAAUGAUGAGAGACCAUAUGGAGAGAAAGAGAUGCCACAUGAAGGAGAACUGGGGCACCCCAAAAGAUAGCCAGCACCAAGGCCCCAGACAUGCAUGUACCAGCUGUAGCUGAGCUUCCAGAUAAUUGCAGCUACACAAGCCACAAAAAACACACAAA